GGCUCAGAACGAACGCUGGCGGCAGGCUUAACACAUGCAAGUCGAGCGCCCCGCAAGGGGAGCGGCAGACGGGUGAGUAACGCGUGGGAACGUACCUUUUGCUACGGAAUAACUCAGGGAAACUUGUGCUAAUACCGUAUGUGCCCUUCGGGGGAAAGAUUUAUCGGCAAAGGAUCGGCCCGCGUUGGAUUAGCUAGUUGGUGAGGUAAAGGCUCACCAAGGCGACGAUCCAUAGCUGGUCUGAGAGGAUGAUCAGCCACACUGGGACUGAGACACGGCCCAGACUCCUACGGGAGGCAGCAGUGGGGAAUAUUGGACAAUGGGCGCAAGCCUGAUCCAGCCAUGCCGCGUGAGUGAUGAAGGCCCUAGGGUUGUAAAGCUCUUUCACCGGUGAAGAUAAAGACGUAACCGGAGAAGAGCCCCGCAAUUCG
rnacentral:rRNA from 1 species